rnacentral:rRNA from 1 species
AAACUAACAAGGAUUCCCCUAGUAACGGCGAGUGAACCGGGAAGAGCUCAAAUUUGAAAUCUGGCGUCCUCAGGGCGUCCGAGUUGUAAUCUAUAGAGGCGUUUUCCGUGCCGGACCGUGUCCAAGUUCCUUGGAACAGGAUAUCAAAGAGGGUGACAAUCCCGUACUUGACACGACGACCGGUGCUCUGUGAUACGUCUUCUACGAGUCGAGUUGUUUGGGAAUGCAGCUCAAAAUGGGUGGUGAGUUCCAUCUAAAGCUAAAUAUUGGCGAGAGACCGAUAGCGAACAAGUACCGUGAGGGAAAGAUGAAAAGCACUUUGGAAAGAGAGUUAAACAGUACGUGAAAUUGUUGAAAGGGAAACGAUUGAAGUCAGUCGUGACCGAGAGGCUCAGCCGGUUCUGCCGGUGUAUUCCCCUCGGUCGGGUCAACAUCAGUUUUGUCCGGUGGAUAAGGACGGUAGGAAGGUGGCACCCUCGGGUGUGUUAUAGCCUGCCGUCGCAUACAUCGGGUGAGACUGAGGAACGCAGCUCGCCUUUAUGGCCGGGGUUCGCCCACGUCCGAGCUUAGGAUGUUGACAUAAUGGCUUUAAACGAC